AAACACCCGUUCCCAUCCCGAACACGGAAGUUAAGCUCUCCAGCGCCGAUGGUAGUUGGGGCCAGCGCCCCUGCAAGAGUAGGUCGCUGCUAGGC
rnacentral:rRNA from 1 species